UUAUAAUUUUGAGUUAAAUUUAAAAUAAGAAACUUUCUAAAUAAAAAAAUAUGGUUAUGAGAUGUGUCAGAAAACUUAUGUUAAUGAUCACAAAAUUGCAUAUCCUUAUUCUCUUUAGUGUGCAAGCCGAUAACCUUCCCCAAACCUCAUUCACUCCAUCUUCACCUCCCAUAUUGCCUCCUUAUUCCUUUGAACUUGAUAUUGGAGAAUUACAUUUGUGCCUUACACGUGAAAUUGGUCAUUGUGAUAGAUUGAAAACCACAUGGCCAUUUCCCGACUAUGUUUAUGAAUUUUGUAUAACUAAUGGUUUUGCAUAUUGCUUCAUUGAUACCCAAUCUUUAGAAAAACCAUUUAAUUUUCAUAUCCUUGCAUAUUGCCUCGAAGUCAAUUGCAAGCCAAAAUUGAGAAUUAAAGCCAACCAUCGUCGAAGUACCCUUUAUGUUCGUUGUUUAUUGGAAUGUUAUUAUCAACAUGUCACCAACCGCAAUGAUGUCAUUUAUAGGCGGAAUCGUUGAGUUUCAACUUCGAUGAGAUAAAGGAGCCAAGUGGUAUGAGGGAGACUUUAUUAAGGAGUAUUAUGCCAAGCUAAAGAAGGAGGCAUUUGAAGCUGCUUAGAUGGAACCAAAGGUAGAUGCACCUACCUGGAGGCUUAUAUGAUUUACAUUAUCUUUUGAAGAUAUUUUUGUAGGCAAAUGAAAAAUAAUUGGCCUCGUGCCUCAAGUUAAUUUGUACUAUUUGAUGGCAUGAAAUUUAAGACUUACUAUGAUGGAAAA